GACGUAGGGCGCAAGCGUUGUCCGGAUUUAUUGGGCGUAAAGAGCUCGUAGGCGGCUUGCCACGUCUGCCGUGAAAACCAGCAGCUUAACUGUUGGCUUGCGGUUGAUACGGGUUGGCUGGAGUUCGGUAGGGGAGACUGGAAUUCCCAGUGUAGAGGUGAAAUUCGUAGAUAUUGGGAAGAACACCGGUGGCGAAGGCGGCUCUCUGGACCGAUACUGACGCUGAGGCGCGAAAGCGUGGGGAGCAAACAGG
rnacentral:rRNA from 1 species